rnacentral:rRNA from 1 species
GACGUAGGGCGCGAGCGUUGUCCGGAUUUAUUGGGCGUAAAGAGCUCGUAGGCGGCUCGUCGCGUCGACCGUGAAAACCCGCGGCUUAACCGCGGGCUUGCGGUUGAUACGGGCGGGCUAGAGUUCGGUAGGGGAGACUGGAAUUCCUGGUGUAGCGGUGAAAUGCGCAGAUAUCAGGAGGAACACCGGUGGCGAAGGCGGGUCUCUGGGCCGAUACUGACGCUGAGGAGCGAAAGCGUGGGGAGCGAACAGG